CAGUGGAUCCGAACUUUCGACGUAACCCUAAUCCGAUGAGAUUAGGUACCCGAGGAGUCCCAAUCAGCUUGGACUCUUCUAAAUUGAUUUCAGAAUCAAAUUUUUUUAAUUUUUAUUAAGCUCACAAGUCAAGAUUGAUAUCUAACAAUAUGUCAUGACUAUCCAAAAGAUUUAAAAUUUUGAUAAAAAAUUAUCAGAAUACCCUUCAGUGGAAAAUUUUUGUGUAAUUCAAUCCUUCAG
rnacentral:lncRNA from 1 species